GACGAACGCUGGCGGCGUGCCUAAUACAUGCAAGUCGAGCGGAAUGGCGGAUGGGUGAGUAACGCGUGGGUAACCUGCCCUUAAGUCUGGGAUACUAUCUGGAAACAGAUGCUAAGACCGGAUACUACAGGAUGGAUCUGCGAUGCAUUAGCUAGUGGGUAAGGUAACGGCUUACCAAGGCGAUGAUGCGUAGCCGGGUUGAGAGACUGAUCAGCCACAUUGGGACUGAGACACGGCCCAGACUCCUACGGGAGGCAGCAGUAGGGAAUCUUCCACAAUGGACGAAAGUCUGAUGGAGCAACGCCGCGUGAGUGAAGAAGGUUUUCGGAUCGUAAAGCUCUGUUAUUGGUGAAGCGGUAAUCAACCAGAAAGUCACGGCUAACUACGUGCCAGCCGCCGCGGUAAUAC
rnacentral:rRNA from 1 species